CAGAGGUAGAAAUCUGACCACUAUAGCGACGCAACGAAUAUGAAGCUAGUUUUGGGGCUCGCGCUUUUAGCGUUUUUUGACGUCUACCUAACGGCAGCGUCACCAGAGCCUAAUCGGAUUCCACAUGGACUUCAUGUCGUUCGAGAGUUCAAUGGCGGCCGCCGCAGGGAGGAGCACCGCCACGUCGAACGCAAGGAGGUCGAGGAGGAACAAGACUUCCAAGAGACAGAAGUGAAA